GUUUUUUCUCCUCUGGCAACAUUCUUGAAGCGGGAGAUCAAUCGCUCCACUUCCCAGCCCUCUGCCUUUGCUCCUCAACCAAGAGAGCUUCUCACAGUCAAGGAGCAGGGAAAUAAACUGUCUACAGAGGGUUAUGUGAGGUCUGUGAAG